UACAGGGGGUGCAAACGUUGCUCGGAAUUACUGGGCGUAAAGGGCGCGUAGGCGGCCUGCUAAGUCGGAUGUGAAAUCCCUGGGCUCAACCCAGGAACUGCACUCGAAACUACUUUUCUUGAGUGCCGGAGAGGAAAGCGGAAUUCCUGGUGUAGAGGUGAAAUUCGUAGAUAUCAGGAGGAACACCAGUGGCGAAGGCGGCUUUCUGGACGGUAACUGACGCUGAGACGCGAAAGCGUGGGGAGCAAACAGG
rnacentral:rRNA from 1 species